rnacentral:rRNA from 1 species
CAGCAGCCGCGGUAAUACGUAGGGUCCGAGCGUUGUCCGGAAUUAUUGGGCGUAAAGGGCUCGUAGGCGGUUUGUUGCGUCGGGAGUGAAAACCAGGUGCUUAACACCUGGCCUGCUUUCGAUACGGGCAGACUAGAGGCAUUCAGGGGAGAACGGAAUUCCUGGUGUAGCGGUGAAAUGCGCAGAUAUCAGGAGGAACACCGGUGGCGAAGGCGGUUCUCUGGGAAUGUUCUGACGCUGAGGAGCGAAAGUGUGGGGAGCGAACAGGAUUAGAUACCCCUGUAGUCCCUGUCUCUUAUAC